AGAUAGCCAGACCAAAUACCAUAUCUGGGGUGAAGAGAAUUGCUGACAGUAGAGAGCAUAUCUUAGAACAAACCACAUCCUGAGCACAGAAUGCAAACUGAGUAAAUAGUUCCUGUUAAUUAGCAGCAUGAAAAAUUCCUGAAUUAUCAAAGAAAGAGGAAAUGACUGUACCUUCUCACCCGAACCAUGCAAUCACCUCUCUGAUCUCAUUCAGCUCUAAAAUGCUGCGAAAUAGAAGUUCUGAUCAUGUCUGCUCUUUGCUCAGAAAAUAUCCUCUGAUGUACCAAUUCUUCACUGUCCAAAAUUCUUAACAAACAUCUAAAACCUGCCACUCUUAAGUUUUCAGACUUAUUUCUUAUUCCUUCACUUACCAGUGGUCUGGACCACUGUUAGGUAAUGUAAGUUCUGUGAUUUGUCUUCCAAGUGAUUUUAAUGCAAUGUGGUUCUCAAACUGAAAUUAGUCUGGGAUGAGGCUCAAGAAUUUACAUUUCUAACAAGUUCCUGGGUAAUGCUUAUCAGCAGGACCUUACUUUGAGAUCCACUAAGAAAAACAAAUGACCCAGGCUGACAAUGCAGUUCUACAUUGCACUUUAAGUCAAAGACUGAUUGCAAUACACGGGCUUACUUGCCAACUUCCCCAUUAUGAGAGGGGUUCUAGUUUAAGGUCACAGCCUGAGUCCUCUGAUCAGAUACUGUCUUAAUAUCAUAAAAUCUCCAACAGUAAGCUUUUUGAUACAUUGUACAUCCCCUUCUGUGUUAUGGACUUUAGAUACAUAAAUAUGUGUUGGAUCAUUAGAAUGGAAGAGGGAGGGAAGAGAGAUGGAGGAUGGGAUGCCUGGAGGACAGAUGCACAGGUUUAGCAACUGAGGGUUGAUUUCAGCAAGAAACUCAACUUCUCACAAAGAAACUGCUCUGGCAUAUGCCAUUAUUGUGUGAGACCAUACUCAACAUAUAAGACAUUUUAUUAGGUGGGAUAACACUGUGAUUCAGAACCUGAGUGUCUGGUUAUCAAUAGUAUUGUGUUCUUUAAUAAGCAGAGCCUUUCACAAAGGAAACACUACUAUUUGGAUCAAGUAUAAUGGGGUGUAAGGGAGAUGUCAUUUGUAUCAAGACAAAUUGUUUACUUUAUAAAAGAGCCACUGGGUAUGUGAAGCUAGAAAAUCUCAUCCAUUUAAUAAAUUCCUUUGCAAAUGUCUUUUCCUUGAGUUUCUACUUUGCAGCUGCAGCAUAAUUUGAAUGUUUGUUCACAUUUAGGACAAUUGUGCCUUCUGGUUUUUUGCUUUCCUGCAUUCAAAUGUGCUCACAUAUCAACAUUGCACAUUUUCUCUCUGCAUCUUUCAUCUGCAUACAUCAUCCCGUGAUUGGCUUGGUAAAUUUAUCCCACUUUUCUUGCUAAAAUAACUGUUCCUGCUGUCUGUUUUCUGCCUACUCUUUGAUUUAUUCCAGAAAUUGGGCUUGAUGCCUACUUUUAGAGCUCAGUGUGAAAUUUGUUCUGUAUGUUUUUAAACCAAGUUCCCACAUAUUUUUUCUGUUUUGUGUUCUGUAAUGCUAUAAACUUCAAAAAGCUCAUUAUAUCCAUGUAUUAGCAUAAAUAAUAAUGAAGGAUGAUAACAUGAAUCUUGAAAAUUUACUUUUAAAAAUUAUUUCACAUUUUAACUUAAUAGUGAGACAUUAAAGUUUUCAUGUCUUGCUAUGGCAUGCCUAAUGUAAAAUAAGGACAGUGUUAAUGUUGCCAGCAAGGUUGCCGUAAAGACUGGAGAUAAUCUAAAAAAUAGCUAGUUCUUACAUGCUUAUGUGCUGAACAUAUUUAGGUGUAAAAACUUGUGCAGGCCUCUAAGCCAACCAGAGCCCAAAAUAUGGUUUUAGAAGUUAAUGAAGAUUGUGUUCUUCUUCUCCAGUAUAGUACUACAAGGCUAAGCAGUUUUUAUUUUAGACUCGAAGAGAGGGACACAGUUUAGAAAAUGUAUCCCAAAUUUAGUCAUGUGAGAUUUACAAAACUAACUGGAAAAUUCAGCAUACUUUUUCAUUUACACAGGAUAUUUGGUUCUAUUCAUUGCUGAAGAUUACACACAUAGUAAACCAGGCCCUUUUUCCAAGAGUGACUCCUUCUGUGUCAAAGUAUAAUGUUAGCAAAUUGUAUUUUGUCCCCCAUCUUGUUAUCUAGACACAGUUUGGGCAGAAGUUAAAAUAAAGAUUCUUUAAGACAAAGAUUAGCCUGCAUAAAUGUUCAUGCACUUUUUAUGCCUGAUUUUAGUGAGCUCAAAGGUAUUCCUUUCUUUCUUGUCCUACAAAAAUCUAUUUUUAUAGCCAAUUAGCCCAAUGUGGCCUUACCCCACAGGCAAAAGAAAUCAAAUUUUUGUCAAUAGGUGGUUCAUUUGCUAUAGGAUUUGUGCAAAUAAUUAAUUUUCCUGCUGCUUUUUGUGUGUUUUGGAGGUUGAAUUAUUGCUUUGUUUUGGGUUAACCUCAGUAAUUUCUCAGCAGAAAUUCAGAGCUGCCUACUUAACAGGAAUAUAAAUCCUCUAUGUGUCCAUGUGUUUUGAGGUAUAACUUACUACUUUACUCUUAUUUUUUACAUCAGAAGUAAUUUAGGAGCUAAGAACUACUGGUGCUUUUUGAGUGCUGUGAUCGUUUCAGACAUCUGUAAGGUUACUAAAAUUUAAUUGUGGAGUGUUGUGUUUAUUUGUCAUGUCUCAGAGACAUAUCAGUGUCAAAAUAAAAAUCAUAUUGAUGAGGCCAUUUCCAGCCCCAAGGAGACACACAUACAGUGCAUGGUGGCGGAGUGGUCCACCCACUCAGCUCAAGCCUUCACAGCGGCACAGUUAUUUCUGCACAGGCCAUUCUAACUGCCAUUGCAAUUUCUUAUGAAGUCACCUGUUAAGUACUUUCUGAAAGGAACAGAAAUAUUCUUUGUUGUAUAAUAAUUUCUUUAUAAAAGAGUAUCAGUGGGUUUAUUCUAGUGCACAUUUUUGAGUAUUUCUUGGCACUCUAAGUAUUACCCAAGGACAAUUUACUAGGUAGUAAAAGGAUGCAGCUUGACAAGAAUUAUAGGAGAAAAUAAAAGGAGGGAAGGCGUGUUGGCUUUUAUUUUGGUCUUGCUGUAUUCUCAUCAUGUGCUAGAAGUUUUCACCUAAAAUAUCUUAUUUGUACAUAAAAGCUAAGUAUAGGGAAGAUAGUAUCAUUUCAAACAUUAAUGCCAGAAUUCUUUACCAUUUCAAUGUAAUCUGGGAUUUAUCAAUCAAAUAAAGUACACAUUUGACAAAAUAAUUGUAGUAAUAUGCAAUGCCUGUCUCUCUGGUACUUCAAAUACUUGAGGACUUUGUUGGUUGUUGGUUUUUAUGGUUAAAAACAUGAUAGCAAACAUGUAAUAAAUAAGUAUAUGCCAUUGUAGAGGAGGCAUUAUUUUAUAUUUACCUUCUUAAGGUCAUUGCCUGAGCCUGAGAAUUAAAUUGAUAUGAUUGAAUAACAGAAGAAAAAUGCAUAAAUUUAUUCAAUAUUUGUUUUCUUUUACCUGCUGUUUUUCAAGUGCCUUUGUCUCAAAAUUAUCCCUGUACCAGACUGGCAUAUUUUGGGGUGUCAUAUUCUGCCUUCUUUCACCAGGAAUGUUUUAAACAUUUCACCUAUGUUACCUCAUUUACUCCUUUCUAUAAACGAUGAGAAAAAAUAUUAUACAAUUACGGAGAGAAAUCAUUAAAUCUAUUAUCAUAGUAGCAGAUUCCAGGAUAUUUUCUCAAUCACAGAGGAAGCUCACAACACAAUUUGUUGAGUAUGUAGCAGAUAUGAACAAUAUGCUGGCAAGCAUGUUAUUGUUUGUCAUUUACUGGUCAAGUACAGACUUCUUCAUUCAACAAUUGGAGAGUACCCACUCUCCUCAAGUGCAUGUAUAAUAUUUUUAAGUUAUGUGCUAAGUCAUAUGUCAAUUCUGAAAUGCUCUACCCAUUUCACAGAUGAAGAAUCUAAGGUAUGGAAAGUUAAAUAACUUGCUGUAAAACACAGAGCUAGUAUGUGGCAGAGCAGGACACAAACUCAGACAGUCUGCCAUCUGAGCCAUUCCACUACUGCGUUAUCUGUCGAUACUGGUUAUCUUACAGGUGGGAAACAAAGAGUUGGUCUUUAAGAGAUAAUUUAAACUUUUAUAUCGGGGAGAGAGCUAGAGAUUAAAUCUACUUUGUUAGGUUAUAUUUUGACCCAAGGAUGCUGCCAAUUUGAUAUUACUCUUGAUCUUAGCCAAAAGGCCAAGAAGUGAUAGACACUGCCAAUUUGAGAUUAACCAACAUGACCUAUGUAGCUAGACUUAGAAGAAAACAAUUCCAACCACAAAUUAAAAAUAGCUUUAAAUGAUUGUUAAAUGUUUAAAUAGCAAAAGCAAAGCAAGAAUGACACAGUUUGAGUUAUCAAUAUUACCUAAAUUUCCUUUAAUAAAUAAGACCUGAAUUAUUAAUCAUGUUUAGGGCCUAUGUUUUGAAUAGGAGGAUAUCCACUGGUGUUUUACAGUCACAUUAAACUCAUUAUUUAUAAUACAAAACUAAACUCAUAAAUGCCUCCCCCCAUCUGCUCCUCGCUCUUCUGCUGUUCUCUGUCCCCAUCUGUGUCACCACUACCUACACACAAAAUUGCUUCAAUUAAAAACCUAAACCUGGGAAUCAUCUAUGAAACCUCUUUGCCCCCCACCCUAAAUUUGAAUGAAUUUGUUGAAUGAAGUUUCAUAUUACCCAUCUAAUACUUUAAUGCCCUAGUUGGACAAUUACAGUCAAAGAGAGUGUGGAGGUCAGACCUUAUGCUCUGCUGAUAUUUUCUACUGUGUUUUGGUUUCUGGCCACAGCAUUCAAUUCCCAUGUAGAGUUUUUGUUGUUGUUGCUGUUGCUAUUGUUGUCAUUCGCAUUUUAUUGUUAAUGGUAAUGUUGGGUUGAGUGUAAAUACAUUAAUGGAAGGUCUACUGUAGAAAGGCUGAGAGGUUUUCUCUUCUCUAUGAAGAUAUUGUGUUGUAUAUGUUGACAAAUAGAGUGUUUUGCCUUUGGCACAGGCACUCUCAGCAGAAUCGCACUCUUUAAUUAUGUCCCCUGGGGGAAAAAUUGUUUCCUGUCAAGGCAGCUUUCCUAAUCAAAGACUUCCUGAGUCCUAAGUAAUAAGAAAUUCAAAUGUUUCUAACUGAAACGUAUAGGGGGGCUUAAUUGGGCAUACAUUUUAAUCUCCUUUGGGGAUCUAAAACUCUAAAUGUUACAUAUUAUAAAAUAUUUUAUAAGGGACACGAAGAAGGUUUCACACAGUUGAUCCAUUUUUAUUUAAAAGAAGCAACUGGUAAAGAACAUAGCAUUGGCAUUAAAAGCUUGAAUAAUUUAUCCCUUCCUUGACUUUUAAAUUACUGCUGCUUUCCUGCUAUUUUCCUUAUCAUCAUGUUUAAUGCACACUUAUUUCUAGAUAUGGAAAGUGGUGCAGAGGAUAUAGAGCAAGGAGCCAUGGGCAGGUAAACUGGGGGCCUGAGUUCCAAUAGGAUUUUAACAUUAAGAUGAACCCUGGCCCUCCAACCUCCCACCCCUAGGAAACAGUUAUAAGAAGAAUUAUGAAUUGAAUUCCAGAGAAGACCCUCAUCUAGUGGGCAGGAGAGGAAGAAGGAAUUAGCUGGGAAGUUCAAAGGACACCAGAGCUGGACACUAAUUUAUUCAGGACUAUUGAAAUAGG